AACACGGUCCUUAGAUCCUCCAGCCGGGGCGCAAGCCCACCAACCUGACCGGUUGGCGAUGGCUGGAGCAUGAGUCAUUGCCGUGUGACAUCAGUAUACCUGAGCGGCGGCCACAGUUGCGCCCCGCCCCGUCCGCGGCCGGCCCCGUGUUUUUAUUAAAUGGUCGGCCAAAGGACGCCAGUGGGCGCCAUGUGGGGCCAGCGCUCGCCGCCGCUCGGACACA
rnacentral:snoRNA from 1 species